rnacentral:rRNA from 1 species
UUAAGCGACUAAGCGUACACGGUGGAUGCCCUGGCAGUCAGAGGCGAUGAAGGACGUGCUAAUCUGCGAAAAGCGUCGGUAAGGUGAUAUGAACCGUUAUAACCGGCGAUGUCCGAAUGGGGAAACCCAGUGUGAUUCGUUGCACUAUCGUUAACUGAAUACAUAGGUUAACGAGGCGAACCGGGGGAACUGAAACAUCUAAGUACCCCGAGGAAAAGAAAUCAACCGAGAUUCCCCCAGUAGCGGCGAGCGAACGGGGAGCAGCCCAGAGUCUGAAUCAGCUUGUGUGUUAGUGGAACGGUCUGGAAAGUCCGACGGUACAGGGUGAUAGUCCCGUACACCAAAAUGCACAGGUUGUGAACUCGAAGAGUAGGGCGGGACACGUGGUAUCCUGUCUGAAUAUGGGGGGACCAUCCUCCAAGGCUAAAUACUCCUGACUGACCGAUAGUGAACCAGUACCGUGAGGGAAAGGCGAAAAGAACCCCGGCGAGGGGAGUGAAAAAGAACCUGAAACCGUGUACGUACAAGCAGUGGGAGCACCUUCGGGUGUGACUGCGUACCUUUUGUAUAAUGGGUCAGCGACUUAUAUUCUGUAGCAAGGUUAACCGUAUAGGGGAGCCGCAGGGAAACCGAGUCUUAACUGGGCGUUAAGUUGCAGGGUAUAGACCCGAAACCCGGUGAUCUAGCCAUGGGCAGGUUGAAGGUUGGGUAACACUAACUGGAGGACCGAACCGACUAAUGUUGAAAAAUUAGCGGAUGACUUGUGGCUGGGGGUGAAAGGCCAAUCAAACCGGGAGAUAGCUGGUUCUCCCCGAAAGCUAUUUAGGUAGCGCCUCGUGAAUUCAUCUUCGGGGGUAGAGCACUGUUUCGGCUAGGGGGUCAUCCCGACUUACCAACCCGAUGCAAACUACGAAUACCGAAGAAUGUUAUCACGGGAGACACACGGCGGGUGCUAACGUCCGUCGUGAAGAGGGAAACAACCCAGACCGCCAGCUAAGGUCCCAAAGUCAUGGUUAAGUGGGAAACGAUGUGGGAAGGCACAGACAGCCAGGAUGUUGGCUUAGAAGCAGCCAUCAUUUAAAGAAAGCGUAAUAGCUCACUGGUCGAGUCGGCCUGCGCGGAAGAUGUAACGGGGCUAAACCAUGCACCGAAGCUGCGGCAGCGACACUAUGUGUUGUUGGGUAGGGGAGCGUUCUGUAAGCCUGCGAAGGUGUGCUGUGAGGCAUGCUGGAGGUAUCAGAAGUGCGAAUGCUGACAUAAGUAACGAUAAAGCGGGUGAAAAGCCCGCUCGCCGGAAGACCAAGGGUUCCUGUCCAACGUUAAUCGGGGCAGGGUGAGUCGACCCCUAAGGCGAGGCCGAAAGGCGUAGUCGAUGGGAAACAGGUUAAUAUUCCUGUACUUGGUGUUACUGCGAAGGGGGGACGGAGAAGGCUAUGUUAGCCGGGCGACGGUUGUCCCGGUUUAAGCAUGUAGGCUGGUUGUCCAGGCAAAUCCGGAUAAUCAAGGCUGAGGUGUGAUGACGAGGCACUACGGUGCUGAAGUAACAAAUGCCCUGCUUCCAGGAAAAGCCUCUAAGCAUCAGGUAACAUUAAAUCGUACCCCAAACCGACACAGGUGGUCAGGUAGAGAAUACCAAGGCGCUUGAGAGAACUCGGGUGAAGGAACUAGGCAAAAUGGUGCCGUAACUUCGGGAGAAGGCACGCUGGUGUGUAGGUGAAGUCCCUGCGGGUGGAGCUGAGACCAGUCGAAGAUACCAGCUGGCUGCAACUGUUUAUUAAAAACACAGCACUGUGCAAACACGAAAGUGGACGUAUACGGUGUGACGCCUGCCCGGUGCCGGAAGGUUAAUUGAUGGGGUUAUCCGUAAGGAGAAGCUCUUGAUCGAAGCCCCGGUAAACGGCGGCCGUAACUAUAACGGUCCUAAGGUAGCGAAAUUCCUUGUCGGGUAAGUUCCGACCUGCACGAAUGGCGUAAUGAUGGCCAGGCUGUCUCCACCCGAGACUCAGUGAAAUUGAACUCGCUGUGAAGAUGCAGUGUACCCGCGGCAAGACGGAAAGACCCCGUGAACCUUUACUAUAGCUUGACACUGAACAUUGAGCCUUGAUGUGUAGGAUAGGUGGGAGGCUUUGAAGCGUGGACGCCAGUCUGCGUGGAGCCAACCUUGAAAUACCACCCUUUAAUGUUUGAUGUUCUAACGUUGGCCCCUNCGAUUGACGUUACCCGCAGAAGAAGCACCGGCUAACUCCGUGCCAGCAGCCGCGGUAAUACGGAGGGUGCAAGCGUUAAUCGGAAUUACUGGGCGUAAAGCGCACGCAGGCGGUCUGUCAAGUCGGAUGUGAAAUCCCCGGGCUCAACCUGGGAACUGCAUUCGAAACUGGCAGGCUAGAGUCUUGUAGAGGGGGGUAGAAUUCCAGGUGUAGCGGUGAAAUGCGUAGAGAUCUGGAGGAAUACCGGUGGCGAAGGCGGCCCCCUGGACAAAGACUGACGCUCAGGUGCGAAAGCGUGGGGAGCAAACAGGAUUAGAUACCCUGGUAGUCCACGCCGUAAACGAUGUCGAUUUGGAGGUUGUGCCCUUGAGGCGUGGCUUCCGGAGCUAACGCGUUAAAUCGACCGCCUGGGGAGUACGGCCGCAAGGUUAAAACUCAAAUGAAUUGACGGGGGCCCGCACAAGCGGUGGAGCAUGUGGUUUAAUUCGAUGCAACGCGAAGAACCUUACCUGGUCUUGACAUCCACAGAACUUUCCAGAGAUGGAUUGGUGCCUUCGGGAACUGUGAGACAGGUGCUGCAUGGCUGUCGUCAGCUCGUGUUGUGAAAUGUUGGGUUAAGUCCCGCAACGAGCGCAACCCUUAUCC